rnacentral:misc_RNA from 1 species
AAAGUUGACCCCCCCUUCGGGGAGGGAUGUCUCCAAACCCUUUGUCGUCCGACUCUGUUGCCUCCGGGGCGACCCUGCCUCCCGGCGGGGGCCCCGGGUGGACACUACCAAACUCUUGCUAUCUUUGCAGUCUGAGUAACUUUAAUUAAUAAAUUA